rnacentral:lncRNA from 11 species
GCCCAGCUUUUGGGAAACUAUCAUUUUUUUCACCUGCUGUAGUGUGAUGUUUUGCAAGAUUUACCCAGAUUAAAGUACCUGGAACCUUGUUUUGCAUCUCUGCAGUUGAGUUGACACGAUCUGACAAAAUUUCUGGUGUAAGUACUGGGGGCGGGGCAGGGCAGGGCAAAGGCAAGUCAAGUUUCCUCUCCACCCCACGAUCUGCUCCUCCUACCUAAUUUGCAUUUUUAUCUCUCCACUUUGGAUUGGGACCUCAAACCAACAAUGUGGUUCCUAUCCUGAGGUGGAUGUACUUAGGAGUCUGGGUGAGAAAGGCAGUGUAGAGGACCCCCGGCUGGAUCUGCCACAAAGCCCCUAAGCUCAUGAAUGGGUCCAGGAAAGCACCAACUGCCACAGAAACGUCCAAUUUGUUUGGAAUCACUGGGUCUCCUUGGAAACCAGAUGAAUCUGCCACUCAAAAAAUAUCUUCAAGAGACACCCUCUCUAAGUCUUGGGGGAGGAGCUAUGGGUGAUGUCUUCUCAGUGGUGGUCCCAGGCUUCGAUCAGAGUAAUUUUGAGUCUUACCUGCCCUGGCUCCAGGGAUGACCAUUUCCAGGCAUUCAGGGCUCUGGGGGUAUCAUGGCAGUCCCACAAACUUCACUUGCAAAAUCCUCGGUGCUUUGCUGAUCUUCCCCUUCCACCCCAGCAGUCGAACCCGCUGCUAAUGAAAGUUACAAUUUGGGGCAGACAGAUGGGGCUGUUGCAACCCAGAUAAUUCUCCUCCUCUAGACCCUGUCAGUUCCUCUGGGUAGUGUUUCUACUGCUGCCACCUCCAGGCUAAGGGAGAAGAAGAAAGACCAAGUCAGUUUAUCCAUUUCCGCUAUUCUAAAAACUUUUGCAAUCCAGUCUGACAUUGUCGGAAGGUGUGACUACUUCCAAUGUUGUGCAUACUGUGGCAUCCAUGCUGCAUUUAUCAUGUUGUGCAAUACUUGAUUUUGUUUAUUUGGCAUUCCCAAUAAAAAUAAUUCAGGCUCUACUGGUAUCUUUGAUUUUAAAAAUUCCUGCAAUGUUUUUUCUACCUUGCCCUAGAAUUCCCUUGCUUUUUAAAUAAGAUCACCACUUGUAGAAUAAAGUUC